rnacentral:rRNA from 1 species
CAAUAGCGUAUAUUAAAGUUGUUGCAGUUAAAAAGCUCGUAGUUGGAUUUCUGGUGGGAGCGAUCGGUCUGGCGCUUAGCGCGAGUACUUGCAUCGUCUCCGGCCAUCCUUGGGGAGAGUCUGUCUGGCAUUAAGUUGUCGGGCAGAGGAUCCUCAUCGUUAACUGUGAAAAAAUUAGAGUGUUCAAAGCAGGCUUAUGCCGUUGAAUAUAUUAGCAUGGAAUAAUAAGAUAGGACUUUGGUACUAUUUUGUUGGUUUGCGCACCAAAGUAAUGAUUAAUAGGGACAGUUGGGGGUAUUCGUAUUCCGUUGUCAGAGGUGAAAUUCUUGGAUUUACGGAAGACGAACUACUGCGAAAGCAUUUACCAAGGAUGUUUUCAUUAA